rnacentral:rRNA from 1 species
GAUGAACGCUAGCGGCAGGCCUAAUACAUGCAAGUCGAACGAUAGUUGGGGCUUGCCCCAACGAAAAGUGGCGCACGGGUGCGUAACGCGUAUGCAACCUACCUUAAUCAGGGGGAUAGCCCGAAGAAAUUCGGAUUAACACCGCAUAAAAUCACAGUAUAGCAUUAUACAAUGAUCAAAUAUUUAUAGGAUUAAGAUGGGCAUGCGUGACAUUAGUUAGUUGGCGAGGUAACGGCUCACCAAGACUACGAUGUCUAGGGGAUCUGAGAGGAUGACCCCCACACU